GUCUAGUGGCAGACGGGUGAGUAACACGUGGGUAACCUACCUUCAAGCUGGGGAUAACAGUUGGAAACGACUGAUAAUACCGAAUAAGAUAUAGCAAUAUAUUGAAAGGAGCCUUUAAAGCUCCACUUAAAGAUGGGCCUGCGGCGUAUUAACUAGUUGGUGAGGUAAUGGCUCACCAAGGUGACGAUGCGUAGCCGAACUGAGAGGUUGAUCGGCCACACUGGGACUGAGACACGGCCCAGACUCCUACGGGAGACAGCAGUUAGGAAUAUUCGUCAAUGGGGGAAACCCUGAACGAGCAAUGCCGCGUGAGUGAUGAAGGCCCUAUGGGUUGUAAAACUCUGUUGUAUGGGAAGAACGGCUAUAUUAGGAAAUGAAUAUAGAGUGACGGUACCAUACCAGAAAGCUCCGGCUAACUACGUGCCAGCAGCCGCGGUAAUACGUAGGGAGCGAGCGUUAUCCGGAUUUAUUGGGCGUAAAAGCCGUGCGUAGGCGGUUUAUUAAGUUUAAGAUAAAAGCCCGGGGCUCAACUCCGGUUCCUCUUUAAAAACUGGUAGAACUUGAGUGUGGUAGAGGUAAAUGGAAUUUCUAGUGUAGCGGUGAAAUGCGUAGAUAUUAGAAGGAACACCAGUGGCGAAGGCGAUUUACUGGGCCAUAACUGACGCUGAGGCACGAAAGCGUGGGGAGCAAAUAGGAUUAGAUACCCUAGUAGUCCACGCCGUAAACGAUGAGUACUAAGUGUUGGAAAUUCCAGUGCUGAAGCUAACGUAUUAAGUACUCCGCCUGAGUAGUACGGUCGCAAGGCUGAAACUCAAAGGAAUUGACGGGCACCCGCACAAGCGGUGGAGCAUGCUGUUUAAUUCGAAGAUACGCGAAGAACCUUACCUAGACUUGACAUCCCCGGCAAAGACAUGGAAACAUGUUGGAGGUUACCCGGGAGACAGGUGGUGCAUGGUUGUCGUCAGCUCGUGUCGUGAGAUGUUCGGUUAAGUCCGCUAACGAGCGCAACCCUUAUCCUUAGUAGCCAGCACAUGAUGGUGGGCACUCUGAGGAGACUGCCAGGGAUAACCUGGAGGAAGGUGGGGAUGACGUCAAAUCAUCAUGCCCCUUAUGACUUGGGCUACACACGUGCUACAAUGGCGUAAACAAAGAGAAGCGAAGCCGCGAGGCCGAGCAAAUCUCAAAAAUAACGUCUCAGUUCGGAUUGUAGUCUGCAACUCGACUACAUGAAGCUGGAAUCGCUAGUAAUCGCGGAUCAGAAUGCCGCGGUGAAUACGUUCCCGGGUCUUGCACACACCGCCCGUCA
rnacentral:rRNA from 1 species